UACAACAUAACUCUGUUCCUGCAUUUCAUUCCAUGAUGCAUUGGUGUAUGAAGAUGUAAACUCAAGUGAUUUCAAACAUGAUCAUGAUUGUGUGGUCAAGUUGAAUUAUACAGUAUAAUAAUUUUAAAAUAUUUUUAAUAUUCUUGAUUUUUAAAUAAGAAUUUUAGCUAUGAUGGGAUGGAAAUUUAUUUACAUAUACACAGAAAGAAUGUUUGGCCUGAUUUCAGAAUGAUUUGCAUGAAUGAUGUCAUCUUUAGGGAGGGUAUGACCAAGUAGAGGGAUUUACCAACAAUUUGAUGAAUUCAGACUUUUAGGUGUGAUAAUAACAAACAUGUCUUCUAACAUUUCCUCCAUGAAAUGAAGCAACAGAAACAAAUAUUAGUGAAGAAAUGUGGAAAAAAUAUGUAAAGCUGACGCAGUACUACAAGAUCCCCUUAGAAAAUAUUGAAAAUGUCUACAAAGCAGAUUCAUGCCCUAAAUCGGAGCAUUGAUUCCGUUAUGAGAAGGAAGUUUGUUUGCUGUUCUUGACUCAUUGGAAUCAAAUAUUGAGGUCUAUUCAAUCAUGUAAACAUAAAGUAUUCAUAGUUGUCCUUCUGAAACUUCUGUACAUCAUCCUCUUAUCAAAAAUCAUUACUGGUUUCAUCGUUGAUUAAAUAUAUUGAUUUCAAAUGUUCCCAAAUUUUUUCCAAUAAAGUACCUAUUGUGGCAUCA